CACGUAGGGCGCGAGCGUUGUCCGGAAUUAUUGGGCGUAAAGAGCUCGUAGGCGGCCUGUUGCGUCCGCUGUGAAAGCCCGGGGCUUAACCCCGGGUCGCAGUGGAUACGGGCAGGCUAGAGGUAGGUAGGGGAGAAUGGAAUUCCCGGUGUAGCGGUGAAAUGCGCAGAUAUCGGGAGGAACACCUGUGGCGAAAGCGGCUCACUGGACCACAACUGACGCUGAGACGCGAAAGCGUGGGGAGCGAACAGG
rnacentral:rRNA from 1 species